UACGUAGGCAGCGAGCGUUGUCCGGAAUUAUUGGGCGUAAAGGGCUCGUAGGCGGUUUGUCGCGUCGGGAGUGAAAUCCACUGGCUUAACUGGUGGCUUGCUUUCGAUACGGGCAGACUGGAGGUAUGCAGGGGAGAACGGAAUUCCUGGUGUAGCGGUGAAAAUGCGCAGAUAUCAGGAGGAACACCGGUGGCGAAGGCGGUUCUCUGGGCAUGUCCUGACGCUGAGGAGCGAAAGUGUGGGGAGCGAACAGG
rnacentral:rRNA from 1 species